rnacentral:rRNA from 1 species
UCGGAUCGCAGGCUGCAACCCGCCUGCGUGAAGUUGGAAUCGCUAGUAAUCGCGGAUCAGCAUGCCGCGGUGAAUACGUUCCCGGGCCUUGUACACACCGCCCGUCACACCAUGAGAGUCGGGAACACCCGAAGUCCGUAGCCUAACCGCAAGGGGGCGCGGCCGAAGGUGGGUUCGAUAAUUGGGUGAAGUCGUAACAAGGUAUC